AAGGCGGCGCCACACGGGGUUUUGCAAAAACCGCUUUCUUGUGAAACAGCCUCGUUUUCUUGUAAAGCAGCCGCUUUGCCGUGUGGCAUACCGCGCAACGCGUUUAACGAAACCGGAAGGAAACCGGUUUUCCUCGUGUUUUCUGAAAUAGAACUUGCUCUAUUUUGGAGGGCGGUUUUACAACAUGGCCGCCACAGCCACACGCUCGCUUGGAAAUUUCAAUGACGAAAAUACCUGAUAUUUGAUUGAGCUUUUCCAAAGCCACCAGGAAUUGUGGGACCCUAGGAAAGAAAAAUACCGUAACAGAUCAUUGAAAACGGGUCUGUGGCUUUCUUUACAGGUUUCGUUCUCGAAAAUGACAGGGAUCGACUGCACAGUUGACAAUAUCCAAGCAAAGGUAGCCAGCCUCCAAAACACAUUUUCAAGGGAAAUGCAUAAAAUAAAUUAAUAAAACAAAAGUGGGGCUGGAGCAUAUGUGAUGUCUACAACAGUUCAUGGCCCUUUUUCCAGCAGUUGAAAUUCCUGUUGCCAGUAAUGUCUCUAGUGGCACAAACAUCUUCAAACUUGGAAACACAAGUGGUGAAUCACCAACGGCAAGGCGAAGACGAUUAUUUCUACCAGUGCCAGGCAGAAAAGGAAUUCACUGAAACUCAGUCUGAAGGGGUGAAAGAGGAUGACCCAGCACUUUCACUCACUUCAAGCCCUUGCAGGUCAAGAAGUGACUACUCAGAUGCAGGCAAAAGGCAAGAAAAAAGAUCAGGGGGAUGAUCUGACUAAGUGCAUCAAAGAUCAUUACAGAAAUAAACAUAGACCAAAAGAGGGCCCUGAACUCAUGUGGGCAAAAAAUCUUACUAAAAAAAUUUCAGAAUUACCAGAUAUUACACAAAGGAAGCUUAUAAAACUAGAUAUUGAUGACCUAGCAAAGAAUGACUAGGACCUCUACACUUAAAGGAAUUAAUUUUUUUUCUCUAGGUUCUUAUGCAUCUAUGACCUUGACUGAAAUAAAAACAUUUGCAUUGUAUGCAAAUUGUAUGUGAGUCACAA